rnacentral:rRNA from 1 species
GGCGGCGUGCCUAAUACAUGCAAGUCGAACGAGUUCUUGUUGAUGAUCGGUGCUUGCACCAAGAUUCAACAUGGAACGAGUGGCGGACGGGUGAGUAACACGUGGGUAACCUGCCCUUAAGUGGGGGAUAACAUUUGGAAACAGAUGCUAAUACCGCAUAGAUCCAAGAACCGCAUGGUUCUUGGCUGAAAGAUGGCGUAAGCUAUCGCUUUUGGAUGGACCCGCGGCGUAUUAGCUAGUUGGUGAGGUAAUGGCUCACCAAGGCGAUGAUACGUAGCCGAACUGAGAGGUUGAUCGGCCACAUUGGGACUGAGACACGGCCCAAACUCCUACGGGAGGCAGCAGUAGGGAAUCUUCCACAAUGGACGCAAGUCUGAUGGAGCAACGCCGCGUGAGUGAAGAAGGCUUUCGGGUCGUAAAACUCUGUUGUUGGAGAAGAAUGGUCGGCAGAGUAACUGUUGUCGGCGUGACGGUAUCCAACCAGAAAGCCACGGCUAACUACGUGCCAGCAGCCGCGGUAAUACGUAGGUGGCAAGCGUUAUCCGGAUUUAUUGGGCGUAAAGCGAGCGCAGGCGGUUUUUUAAGUCUGAUGUGAAAGCCCUCGGCUUAACCGAGGAAGCGCAUCGGAAACUGGGAAACUUGAGUGCAGAAGAGGACAGUGGAACUCCAUGUGUAGCGGUGAAAUGCGUAGAUAUAUGGAAGAACACCAGUGGCGAAGGCGGCUGUCUGGUCUGUAACUGACGCUGAGGCUCGAAAGCAUGGGUAGCGAACAGGAUUAGAUACCCUGGUAGUCCAUGCCGUAAACGAUGAAUGCUAGGUGUUGGAGGGUUUCCGCCCUUCAGUGCCGCAGCUAACGCAUUAAGCAUUCCGCCUGGGGAGUACGACCGCAAGGUUGAAACUCAAAGGAAUUGACGGGGGCCCGCACAAGCGGUGGAGCAUGUGGUUUAAUUCGAAGCAACGCGAAGAACCUUACCAGGUCUUGACAUCUUUUGAUCACCUGAGAGAUCAGGUUUCCCCUUCGGGGGCAAAAUGACAGGUGGUGCAUGGUUGUCGUCAGCUCGUGUCGUGAGAUGUUGGGUUAAGUCCCGCAACGAGCGCAACCCUUAUGACUAGUUGCCAGCAUUUAGUUGGGCACUCUAGUAAGACUGCCGGUGACAAACCGGAGGAAGGUGGGGAUGACGUCAAAUCAUCAUGCCCCUUAUGACCUGGGCUACACACGUGCUACAAUGGAUGGUACAACGAGUUGCGAGACCGCGAGGUCAAGCUAAUCUCUUAAAGCCAUUCUCAGUUCGGACUGUAGGCUGCAACUCGCCUACACGAAGUCGGAAUCGCUAGUAAUCGCGGAUCAGCACGCCGCGGUGAAUACGUUCCCGGGCCUUGUACACACCGCCCGUCACACCAUGAGAGUUUGUAACACCCGAAGCCGGUGGCGUAACCCUUUUAGGGAGCGAGCCGUCUAAGGUGGGACAAAUGAUUAGGGUGAAGUCGUA